rnacentral:rRNA from 1 species
UACGGAGACCUCGAGCGUUACUCGGAAUUACUGGGCGUAAAGCGUGCGUAGGCGGCUUUGUCAGUCAGAGGUGAAAUCCCGGGGCUCAACCUCGGAAUUGCCUUUGAUACUGCGAAGCUUGAAUGCGAGAGAGGGUGGUGGAAUAUCCAGUGUAGAGGUGAAAUUCGUAGAUAUUGGAUGGAACACCAGUGGCGAAGGCGGCCACCUGGCUCGUUAUUGACGCUGAGGCACGAAAGCGUGGGGAGCAAACAGG